rnacentral:ncRNA from 1 species
GAUAACUGGCCUGUUGUAGGCAAGCGUUCAUAGCGACGUUUCUUUUUUAUCCUUCGGUGUCGGCUCUUCCUAUUAUUGUGAAGCAGAAUCCACCAAGUGUUGUACUGUUCACCCAUCAAUAGGGAACGUGAGCUGGGUUUAGACCGUCGUGAGACAGUUU